rnacentral:other from 2 species
AAUUAUCUGUUGUGUUUGUGAUUGGUUAUAUAUCCUGAGCCGAUUAAAAACAACAAAAGGAAAUGAGAUAGCUUACUUUUGUGUAAGCCUACCUUGAAGUAGGAAACCUACGGUAAUCUUCGAACUUCCGCCUUGAACUAUAUGGUUCAGUCUUGCAUCAACACGGCACAAUGGACUCCUU